UUAAAACAAUAAAUGUUAUCAAAUAUUUAUAUAUCCAGCUCGCACAAGAGAGGUAGGAGUAGCACGUUCUAGAAGAUGUGUUUUGAUGUAGUAGUUUAUAAAUGUAAUAGUGUGCCACCCAAUUGCAUAUUGGAGUGAAGUUUCUCUAACAUCUUGGAACAUUUUUUAAAGGAAAAAAUCAUCAACGUGUUGUUUUUAAUUAAUCAAUAAUAACAAUGCACAUGCCUUU
rnacentral:lncRNA from 1 species